rnacentral:rRNA from 1 species
CAGUAGCCGCGGUAAUACGAAGGGGGCUAGCGUUGUUCGGAAUCACUGGGCGUAAAGGGUGCGUAGGCGGGAUCUUAAGUCAGGGGUGAAAUCCCGAGGCUCAACCUCGGAACUGCCUUUGAUACUGGAAGUCUUGAGUAUGGUAGAGGUGAGUGGAAUUCCGAGUGUAGAGGUGAAAUUCGUAGAUAUUCGGAGGAACACCAGUGGCGAAGGCGGCUCACUGGACCAUUACUGACGCUGAGGUGCGAAAGCGUGGGGAGCAAACAGGAUUAGAUACCCGAGUAGUCCCUGUCUCUUAUAC